AAACUCCCAACCCCUGUGACAUACCUAUACGUUGCCUCGGCGGAUCAGCCCGCGCCCCGUAAAAAGGGACGGCCCGCCCGAGGACCCCUAAACUCUGUUUUUAGUGGAACUUCUGAGUAAAACAAACAAAUAAAUCAAAACUUUCAACAACGGAUCUCUUGGUUCUGGCAUCGAUGAAGAACGCAGCAAAAUGCGAUAAGUAAUGUGAAUUGCAGAAUUCAGUGAAUCAUCGAAUCUUUGAACGCACAUUGCGCCCGCCAGUAUUCUGGCGGGCAUGCCUGUUCGAGCGUCAUUUCAACCCUCAAGCUCAGCUUGGUGUUGGGACUCGCGGUAACCCGCGUUCCCCAAAUCGAUUGGCGGUCACGUCGAGCUUCCAUAGCGUAGUAAUCAUACACCUCGUUACUGGUAAUCGUCGCGGCCACGCCGUAAAACCCCAACUUCUGAAUGUUGACCUCGGAUCAGGUAGGAAUACCCGCUGAACUUAAGCAUAUCAAUAA
rnacentral:rRNA from 1 species